rnacentral:tRNA from 1 species
ACAGAUGUAGCUCAGUGGUAGAGUACUUGCCUCACAUGCACAAGAUCUUGGGUUCAAUUCCCAGCACCAGAA